UACGAAGGGGCUAGCGUUGUUCGGAAUUAUGCUAGGGCGUAAAGCGCGCGCAGGCGGUUCUUCAAGUCAGAGGUGAAAGCCCAGGGCUCAACCCUGGAACUGGCCUUUGAGACUAGAGGACUUGGGUACGGGAGAGGUGGAGUGGAAUUCCGAGUGUAGAGGUGAAAUUCGUAGAUAUUCGGAAGAACACCAGUGGCGAAGGCGGCUCACUGGCCCGUUACCGGACGCUCAGGCGCGACAGCGUGGGGGAGCAAACAGGG
rnacentral:rRNA from 1 species